CUGGCCAGUCUCAAACAGUAAGACAGCAUGGAAAAAAUUACCUUUAAAAAGUCAAUGAUUGCUUCAUUGCUUAUGGGUGCUGUGAACCAAGAUGCCAGCAUUGUGGUGCAAGUAAAUCCAAAUUUGACAUCCAUACAGCUUGUCAGAAACACAAAUUCACUGGUGAAGAAAUUCUGUUGAAAAGCAUACAAAGAGUUCCAUCAAGACAAGACAAGCUGUCAGAUGUCUUCAUUAUUUUCAGGACACUUCUGAUGUAAAAGAUAAGCAAAGGAUGAGUCUAAGAAAUAGUUCUGUAUUUGAUUAUAUUUUUUUCAGAACUUUUCAGGAAUCCAGGAUGAAACAGAAAGCUAUAGCUGACUAUUUAUUAGCAAUUUUUCCCAUUGAUAAAAAACCUGUAGGGAAGAUUAUGAAUGUUAACAUAUUCUGUACUCUGGAAUAAAAAUGGUCAAACCUAUUCAGUGUCGCAGCAAGAUAUCCCCACUUAGUUCUUGCCACAAGUUAGUUGCAUAGCUUUUCCCUUCAGUCAUUUAAGCCAGAUUUAGAACAAGCUAUUUGUAGAAAACAGAAUUUAAAUUUGGUAAAUUCCCUCAAAUCCUUGCACUGACCACAGUCAUGAAAACUGGCUACCUAAAGAAAUUAAACAUGGAUGUUCUUUAACUUCUCCCUAUGUAUGUUGCUGCCUCACAGAAAACUGUAAAGCAUCAUAAGUCAUUAUUUUAUCCAUUACCAUGAACAAAGAACUGAUGAUCAGUAUGGCCAUCUCUGCAUCUAUCCUGACUACCAGGUUGAUUUCUCUGGCUUGACUUCAUCGCUUCCAAUGCACCACAAGCUCCCUCUUUAAGUAGUUCCAGUUCACCAUCAUCGCUGAAGUGGCCUUUGGAGAUCUCUGGAAAGCUGCACUGGACAACACUUUACUGAAGAAGAAUAACCAUAUCUGCCGUUAUUUUCCAGCAGGAUUCAUUUUGUUGAAGACACAAAACAAAAGCCUUUCUGUCACUGGAUUUGCUGAGUGUGCUCCAAGGGACUGCAGCAGUGCUUUGCUGCUAGCUCUUGUCCUGCUUCCCGGAGAGCCAUUGUGCUGCACUGUGAGCAGGCAGGAUACUCGCCCCAGAGUGAGCUGUGAUGGAGGGACUGACACUGAAACUGCUGGAGAGGGACCCUGUGAUGAGAGAUCAAAAAAACUGAGCAGAUUUGGUGUGACCCUGAAACUUAUCUGAGCACUCCUAAAACAUCCAGGUCAGUACUGUGGCAUUUGAUUACAUUAAGCACUAUAAUAGAAAUUCUGAAUGAAAUGUUCUCCAUCUCUCAUUUCAAACAGGGGGCUGUCUUGAGUCUAAAUAUAUUGACAAUAAUUUUAUGAUUCUUUCAGAGUGAUUACUGUAGAUGUA
rnacentral:lncRNA from 1 species